CGACGUCUUCAGGGCGGGGCGAAAUUCCCCACCGGCGGUAGGCCUUCCAAGGCGAGCCCGCGAGCGCUUCCGGCCAUGCCGGAAGGUCAGCAGAUCCGGUCGAAUGCCGGAGCCGACGGUUGGAAGCGGGCGACCGCUUCCUCACAGUCCGGAUAAAGAGAAGACGGCA
rnacentral:ncRNA from 2 species